rnacentral:lncRNA from 1 species
ACUUUUCCUACUUCCUUCUUUGCGGCAUCCUUUUUCAUCUCUGAAGACUUCUUUCUCUCCUCAGGCUUCUGCCAGCUAACCAGUACCACUUACUGUCUACCUGAUAAGUGAUGCAAUAGGCGGCGAGUUGAGCUCUGUAACUGAGCAAGAAAUUGAAUACGCUGCUAUCCGUGAAACUGCUGGCCAGACUUGACAGAUGACCUCUUGGAAGCCCAUCUUUGAAGUAUGAAAUA